rnacentral:rRNA from 1 species
GUGGGGAAUAUUGGGCAAUGGGCGAAAGCCUGACCCAGCAACGCCGCGUGAAGGAAGAAGGCUCUCGGGUUGUAAACUUCUUUUAAGAGGGACGAAUAAAGUGACGGUACCUCUUGAAUAAGCCACGGCUAACUACGUGCCAGCAGCCGCGGUAAUACGUAGGUGGCAAGCGUUAUCCGGAUUUACUGGGUGUAAAGGGCGUGUAGGCGGGAUGGUAAGUCAGAUGUGAAAACUAUGGGCUCAACCCAUAGCCUGCAUUUGAAACUAUCGUUCUUGAGUGUUGGAGAGGCAGGCGGAAUUCCGUGUGUAGCGGUGAAAUGCGUAGAUAUUAGGAGGAACACCAGUGGCGAAGGCGGCUUACUGGACUGUAACUGACGUUGAGGCUCGAAAGCGUGGGGAGCAAACAGG